GCGGAUGUGAUGGAACUGGUAGACAUGCAAGAUUUAGGUUCUUGUGCCACAAGGCGUGGGGGUUCAAGUCCCUUCAUCCGUACCA
rnacentral:tRNA from 1 species